GUCUGUCGACGAGUGAGACCUUUUCCGCGGGGCAGUAAAAUAACUCAACCGAUGUAUUAUCUGUUGAAAGGAAGAACUUGACAAAGACUGGGUUAAUUAACAGAACGCCCAUGAAAAUAACAGCGAGAAAAUUGGUACGGAGUAAAACUGUUAUGUUAAAUGACUGCAGUCCCGUAAUAGCUUGCGAUUGACUGUGUCUCCUUACAAGAGAAAGCAGGGAAAUGCAAGAAGCGAAAUAAAAGUAGCUACCCUAGUGCUCUAACAGUCCAGGAGUUUGCGCAGGCUUACGUGGAUGCACAAAAAUGAAAACCUCCUGCAAUGAAUGUCUAGCAAAAAGCCACAAGAUUGAAAAGCCAACGCUGACAGCGAGCAAGGAAGACGUGAAAAGAAGGUGAAAUGUUGAGCUGAUCAAGAUCAGAAGAGAAAACAAAAAAAAGGCAGUGGGAAAGCUAUUGUUUGAAUUAAAUCAGGAAAGAAGAGAUGUCGCACACAAAACUAUCGCAUGGAAACUAAGACCCAUGAUGCAGAGGGUAAGACCAGAGCAGAUGCGCUGCUAAGGAUGCACAACAGGAACGCAAAGAAAAAGAAGCGGAGGCAAUGGGCAGUCGUGUUCUAGGAAUUAAAGAGGAGACGCAACACUUAUUAGACCAUCAAGGAACAACGUGGCUUGAGACGCCAAAAAAAAAAACAAACAAACAAUAAAACGAGCUUUGUAGAUUGGAGUAUUAAACAAAGGCAUCUGCUGUUGUCUGUUAUAUAAGAAGGUAGAAGAAGACGUCUCGCCAGUGUUUGCUCCAAUUUAUUACGCCCCACAGUUCAAAACUACUGUAGGCAUGUCUUUUCAGCUACAUCUGACGACUACCGCCCGAGGAUUUAAGUGACUCUAUCAUUAAUUACCGCCAGUGUUUGAUAAAAUCGUCCAAAUUUAAAAACUGUCUCGCCAAAGAUUCGUUUACAAAUCGACAGUUCAAUUGUAACCUGUAAAUUUUCAGGCUGGGCCCAAAUGCAUCGAUUAAUGGGUAGUUUUGCAACCAGUGUGGAAAAGACCCGGCCAAAACUAAGCUCAGAGAAAUACACACACAUAUAACUGACUCAAAUAGCAGACGGACAAAUCCUGCUGCAUUGCGACCUCUCCAUGGAUGACAAGGAUUAAUGCUAACCUUUGCUGUUGUCCGGCAGGAUGUACUUUUGGACCCAAAGCGAGUUACUCAGAACUUGGUAAUUCAUAAGAUUCAUAAUGUUGUGCAAAACUUCUCAAAGUUCCAAGAAUUCAACAAAUGGAGGCUAGCCUGAAAUGUUUACUUCUCCACUGACUCACAACUUGAACUAUCACCCAUCCCAGACAAACGUUUGUAAGUAAUUGGAAUACAAAUUUGAAUUCUCACAUAUCUGACUUUUGUCACAUACAAAGUUGGCAAGUUUUGUUCGCUGCACAUUUACCUUCCUUAACCGUGCACAAUGAGCUCUAAACACUUUCUUUUAUGUCAUAAAAAUUUCUAUCUUACUUUUACUGAAAAACUGUACUUCCUACAAAAUUUUCUCAAAGCUGUAUCGUUGAAUUCACAAGAAUUUAAGGGAAUGUAAUUUCUUGAUGUGCAAUGCAAAAACAACAAACACGUCAGGAUUUCUCAAUCGUGCACAUGCUCAAGGGCCUUAGAGCGAUAAAGCAUUGAUAAAUGA